rnacentral:rRNA from 1 species
AUUGAACGCUGGCGGCAUGCCUUACACAUGCAAGUCGAACGGUAACGCGGGGCAACCUGGCGACGAGUGGCGAACGGGUGAGUAAUGUAUCGGAACGUGCCCAGUUGUGGGGGAUAACUGCUCGAAAGAGCAGCUAAUACCGCAUACGACCUGAGGGUGAAAGCGGGGGAUCGCAAGACCUCGCGCAAUUGGAGCGGCCGAUAUCAGUAUUAGGUAGUUGGUGGGGUAAAGGCUCACCAAGCCAACGAUCUGUAGCUGGUCUGAGAGGACGACCAGCCACACUGGAACUGAGACACGGCCCAGACUCCGACGGGAGGCAGCAGUGGGGAAUUUUGGACAAUGGACGCAUGUCUGAUCCAGCCAUGCCGCGUGCGGGAAGAAGGCCUUCGGGUUGUAAACCGCUUUUGUCAGGGAAGAAACGCUCUGGGUUAAUACCUCGGGGUAAUGACGGUACCUGAAGAAUAAGCACCGGCUAACUACGUGCCAGCAGCCGCCGUAACAC